CAAGCAUUCGGGGAUGAAACGGGAAUGCGUUGAGGGAUUACCCAAAUCGGGGCCCAAAGCCGCAGCCGCCCCCGCGACUGUAUGUGGUUAGCAGACAUCAUAUGCCACUGGGUAACACCGGGAAGGCGAUGUCAGCCGAAAACCACAAGCCAGGAGACCGGCCUCGCAAA
rnacentral:ncRNA from 1 species